AUGAACGCUAGCGACAGGCCUAACACAUGCAAGUCGAGGGGCAGCGGGGAGGUAGCAAUACCUUUGCCGGCGACCGGCGCACGGGUGAGUAACACGUAUGCAAUCCACCUGUAACAGGGGGAUAACCCGGAGAAAUCCGGACUAAUACCCCAUAAUAUGGGCUCUCCGCAUGGAGGGUUCAUUAAAGAGAGCAAUUUUGGUUACAGACGAGCAUGCGCUCCAUUAGCCAGUUGGCGGGGUAACGGCCCACCAAAGCGACGAUGGAUAGGGGUUCUGAGAGGAAGGUCCCCCACAUUGGAACUGAGACACGGUCCAAACUCCUACGGGAGGCAGCAGUGAGGAAUAUUGGUCAAUGGUCGGCAGACUGAACCAGCCAAGUCGCGUGAGGGAAGACGGCCCUACGGGUUGUAAACCUCUUUUGUCGGAGAGUAAAGUACGCUACGUGUAGCGUAUUGCAAGUAUCCGAAGAAAAAGCAUCGGCUAACUCCGUGCCAGCAGCCGCGGUAAUACGGAGGAUGCAAGCGUUAUCCGGAUUUAUUGGGUUUAAAGGGUGCGUAGGCGGCACGCCAAGUCAGCGGUGAAAUUUCCGGGCUCAACCCGGAGUGUGCCGUUGAAACUGGCGAGCUAGAGUACACAAGAGGCAGGCGGAAUGCGUGGUGUAGCGGUGAAAUGCAUAGAUAUCACGCAGAACCCCGAUUGCGAAGGCAGCCUGCUAGGGUGAAACAGACGCUGAGGCACGAAAGCGUGGGUAUCGAACAGGAUUAGAUACCCUGGUAGUCCACGCAGUAAACGAUGAAUACUAACUGUUUGCGAUACAAUGUAAGCGGUACAGCGAAAGCGUUAAGUAUUCCACCUGGGGAGUACGCCGGCAACGGUGAAACUCAAAGGAAUUGACGGGGGCCCGCACAAGCGGUGGAGCAUGUGGUUUAAUUCGAAGCAACGCGAAGAACCUUACCAAAUCUUGACAUCCUCUGACCCCUCUAGAGAUAGAGUUUUCCCCUUCGGGGGACAGAGUGACAGGUGGUGCAUGGUUGUCGUCAGCUCGUGUCGUGAGAUGUUGGGUUAAGUCCCGCAACGAGCGCAACCCUUAAGCUUAGUUGCCAUCAUUAAGUUGGGCACUCUAAGUUGACUGCCGGUGACAAACCGGAGGAAGGUGGGGAUGACGUCAAAUCAGCACGGCCCUUACGUCCGGGGCGACACACGUGUUACAAUGGCAGGUACAGAAGGCAGCCAGUCAGCAAUGACGCGCGAAUCCCGAAAACCUGUCUCAGUUCGGAUUGGAGUCUGCAACCCGACUCCAUGAAGCUGGAUUCGCUAGUAAUCGCGCAUCAGCCAUGGCGCGGUGAAUACGUUCCCGGGCCUUGUACACACCGCCCGUCAAGCCAUGGAAGCCGGGAGUACCUGAAGCAUGCAACCGCAAGGAGCGUACGAAGGUAAUACCGGUAACUGGGGCU
rnacentral:rRNA from 1 species